CCGCAGUCUCUCCUCUCCGGGCGCCAGCGGCUGCGAGGCUGGGCAGGGGGGAGCAGCGCAUGUCUUGCCACCGCGGCUACGCAGCGCCUCAAGACUUGAAGAACCGAUUUCUUGCCAAAGGUCACAGAAGAGAAUUUUGUACUAGGACAGCUGGAGAAGUGCUUCCGUUUAGAGAUAUUGAAACUGAGGGUCCAGAGCCAAGAAAACACAGCUCUCAUGUAAUGAAGCCAGGAUUCAAACCUACUACUGUUAGAUGUCCAACCCCACUUUGUCCAAGCUGAUGCUAGAGUAACGAUCCCAGGUCCUCCAUGUUCCUUUGGGGACUUCCCUGAGCCUAGGCCUGGGCCCCAUGUUUCCCAUUUGUAAAACUGGGGGAGGGAUGGACUAGGAUCCCACAGGCUGCUUGUCAGUGGGUGUCAGAAGUGCAGGAGAAGAAGGUGAGCAGCCCGGGACGCUGGGCUUUAAGGCUUGAGCAAUGUCAAGUGGGAGUCCCCAGUAAAUCGAGAUGUUGCCACACAGACUUGGGCAUGAGAAAAAUUAACAGAGAGCCAGUCACUAUUACAAGGGCUUCAAGGGGCAAUUCAACCCAGGUAUCAGAAGUCCAGUCUAAGACUGAUGAGUGAACAGGCUGGUGGGAUAGAAAACAGGUUGAUCCCCAAAGAUGUGUGUGGCCACAGUUGUGUGGAGAGUAAGGCCAGACACACAUGCAUGCACAUGUGCACACCCACGCAUGGAUACAGCCAUCAAGAGAGCAUCUGUGUGCAGCCAGAGAUACAAGAGACAGGAUAAGGUUCUUUCAUGUUGCAGGUAAUAUCACCCCGACUCUCAGGCUUCCCCUACGUAGGACUUUGCAGAUUAUUAAAGUCUCUAAUUAGUCUUAUUAUUCAUACUUUCCAUAUUCCUGGUGCAGACAGUGUGUAUAAUGUAUUACAUUUUAUGGAAAACAAAGGAUGAGAUAUGUAAUAUAUAUAUUCAUGUUUUUUUCCCGUGAUUUUUCCACAUAUAGACUAUUUCUGUAAGUUUACCCAAAAAGCUUAUAAGCAUGGUUGCCUCUGAGUAGGGAUCUAAGUGCCAGAGUUGGUAAAGAGAGUAACUUUGCAUUACGUUCCCUUUUAUAAUAUUUGAACCUUUUAAUCAUGG